UGAUGGACAACGGACUGGGAACAUCCAACUACUUUUCCUUCAACUUGUUUGAGUUCUCUGGGAAGAGCAGUGACRUCUACCUGCACUGUAAAGUGAAGCUGUGUGUGAAGAAGGGCAACACCUGCACCCAGAGCUGCGGAGAUAAGAGAAGACGCAGAUCUACCAGGGCUAGAUAUGAAGACGGUAACCCAGCCUUCAUCUCCAUGGCCUGGACUAAAUAGGUUGUUUCCAUGGCGACUCGGACUGACUGAAAGGCUGUCGACCUCCUGACUGACUCCAGACUCCUGAUCAAGAGCCUGGAUGUCUGAAUCCCUUCGGUUUUAGAUUCAACGUCUCCUGAAAAGAUCAGCUCAGUUUUGUUUGCUGUGACACCAUCCAUACUAACAAACAGUUGUGCAUGGACAGAUUCAGUCCGCUGUAGUUUGUGAGGUUGAUUGAGUCGAGCUAGGAGCAGCAAACGACCUGAUGAAACAACAGGUAACAUGAAGUGUCAGAACGUGUAGCUUCAUCAGAACAUUYAUAAUAAGCUGAGCUGAUCUUUGACGGAGCGUCUCUCAGCUCCAUGCGUUGCUGUAGCUUCCUCAGUCAUUUACACUUGACACGGAGCAGACGGCCAGCACCAUCACAACAGAGUUUGUGCGAAUGAGGCUCAGUGCUCAUGUUUGAUAACACACAUCAGUGCCCAGACUGGGGAAAAGCCACAGUACACCUCCAUCAUUCAGCCCCUCCAGGAUCUCACACACUCUUCUGACAUUAUUGAGGCUCAAAACAUGAGCCAUUUUUCUGCAGUAAAACAUUCUCAAAGAAACUGAGUGCUGACAGAUGAUGAAUGAACUCCUGGAGAGACUGACUUAAAACAUAUUUUAACACGGUGAGGGGAAAUGUAUUAUAACCAAUUUAUUUUCAUCUAUCUUACAUGUACACUCCUAGAACACAACCAUUAAUAUCACAAUAUUUGGAUAGAGGACUGUUAACAGUGUUAAAUGAACACUGGGUCAUCUGGGUGCAAAUGAACCUAAAAUAAAUACACUACAAGUUUCAGCAAUGUAUGAAAAGUAUAAGUGGUAAAAGUACUUCAUAUAGUUAGAGUAUGCAAGUAGCAGUACAUAAUGUAGUUACAGUGACACAGUCAGAGUACUUCCACAGUACACUCAUUGUGUAGUAAAGUGUCCUGCGACUGAUCUCUGAUCAGAUCAUUGAUCCUGAGUUGUCAACACUUCAACAUGUUGCUGAUGUAGUUGCCUUAAACUACUUUACAUAAACUGGGAUAGUUCAGUCCACUGGUUCCCAUCUUAAAGGUCCAGUGUA